rnacentral:rRNA from 1 species
GAGUUUGAUCUUGGCUCAGAAUCAACGCUGGCGGCGUGCCUAACACAUGCAAGUCGAACGAGAAAGUGGAGCAAUCCAUGAGUACAGUGGCGACCGGGUGAGUAACACGUGACUACCUACCCUUGAGUGGGGGAUAACCUCGGGAAACCGAGGCUAAUACCGCAUAAUAUCGAGAGAUCAAAGGAGAAAUCCGCUUUUGGAGGGGGUCGCGGCUGAUUAGCUAGUUGGUGAGGUAAUGGCCCACCAAGGCGAAGAUCGGUAUCCGGCCUGAGAGGGCACACGGACACACUGGAACUGAAACACGGUCCAGACUCCUACGGGAGGCAGCAGUGGGGAAUUUUGCGCAAUGGGGGAAACCCUGACGCAGCAACGCCGCGUGGAGGAUGAAGCCCCUUGGGGUGUAAACUCCUUUCGACCGGGAAAAUAAUGAUGGUACCGGUGGGAGAAGCACCGGCUAACUCUGUGCCAGCCGCCGCAGUAAC